rnacentral:rRNA from 1 species
UACAGAGGGGGCAAGCGUUGUUCGGAUUUACUGGGCGUAAAGGGCGCGUAGGCGGUCGUGACAAGUCACUUGUGAAAUCUCCGGGCUUAACCCGGAAAGGUCAGCCGAUACUGCGGGGCUAGAGUGCAGAAGGGGCAACUGGAAUUCUCGGUGUAGCGGUGAAAUGCGUAGAUAUCGAGAGGAACACCUGCGGCGAAGGCGGGUUGCUGGGCUGACACUGACGCUGAUGCGCGAAAGCUAGGGGAGCGAACGGG